GGCGGGGAAAGCUGGGCGCGCGAGCCGAGGCUGCUGCUCACCUGCAGCCGCGCCGCUCACCUGCCGCGGAGUGCGCGCCCCGCGCCCUCCCGGCCCGCUCCGGAGCCCGGCCGCCCCCCCCUUGCCACAGCGGGCAACUGCGCCGACAUGCGACACGAGUAGCCCACGCGCUUCGGAACCACCGGAGGAGCCCCCUCGGCCUGGGCGAGCCAAGAGGACAGGGGUUAAAAUGAAUGAAGACCUGAAGGUCAAUUUAAGCGGGCUGCCUCGGGAUUAUUUAGAUGCCGCUGCUGCGGAGAACAUCUCGGCUGCCGUCUCCUCCCGGGUUCCUGCCGUAGAGCCAGAGCCUGAGCUCGUAGUCAACCCCUGGGACAUUGUCUUGUGUACCUCGGGAACCCUCAUCUCCUGUGAAAAUGCCAUUGUGGUCCUUAUCAUCUUCCACAACCCCAGCCUGCGAGCACCCAUGUUCCUGCUGAUAGGCAGCCUGGCUCUUGCAGACCUGCUGGCCGGCAUUGGACUCAUCACCAAUUUUGUUUUUGCCUACCUGCUUCAGUCAGAAGCCACCAAGCUGGUCACGAUCGGCCUCAUUGUCGCCUCUUUCUCUGCCUCUGUCUGCAGCUUGCUGGCUAUCACUGUUGACCGCUACCUCUCACUGUACUACGCUCUGACGUACCAUUCGGAGAGGACGGUCACGUUUACCUAUGUCAUGCUCGUCAUGCUCUGGGGGACCUCCAUCUGCCUGGGGCUGCUGCCCGUCAUGGGCUGGAACUGCCUCCGAGACGAGUCCACCUGCAGCGUGGUCAGACCGCUCACCAAGAACAACGCGGCCAUCCUCUCGGUGUCCUUCCUCUUCAUGUUUGCGCUCAUGCUUCAGCUCUACAUCCAGAUCUGUAAGAUUGUGAUGAGGCACGCCCAUCAGAUAGCCCUGCAGCACCACUUCCUGGCCACGUCGCACUAUGUGACCACCCGGAAAGGGGUCUCCACCCUGGCUAUCAUCCUGGGGACGUUUGCUGCUUGCUGGAUGCCUUUCACCCUCUAUUCCUUGAUAGCAGAUUACACCUACCCCUCCAUCUAUACCUACGCCACCCUCCUGCCCGCCACCUACAAUUCCAUCAUCAACCCUGUCAUAUAUGCUUUCAGAAACCAAGAGAUCCAGAAAGCGCUCUGUCUCAUUUGCUGCGGCUGCAUCCCGUCCAGUCUCGCCCAGAGAGCGCGCUCGCCCAGUGAUGUGUAGCACCCUUGCACCCAGGAGGACUCUGCAUUUACCAAGCACUUCCACUGCCUGGCCAAGAUGUGAUGCCCAGGGUGGUCUCAAGACCAUUCUGGGAGCCUGCAUGCUGAUGCCUUCUCUCCAGAGCCUCUUCUAAUGCAGCACACGUGUGAAAAAAUCCUCUACUUGAAUCUGUGUCUCCUCCCUGAGGUUACUUAUGGAAGCAGGAGAGGGACUGAAAUACUUAAGAAGUGGGAAAGAAUUUUCAAUACAUAUCACUGUAUGAUCAAUCUAAUAAAACUGAUGCCUUUAAAACAUUUCUUUUGAACAUUUGAUGGAGUUAGUAGGUUGAACAUGAUGAGUCUGUUCGUUUUUAAUUAAUUAGAAUUGAAUAGCAUCACCGUAGGAGACUUGACAAAGGUAAGUUGGUUUUGAGAGGGGCUAGGAAAUAUCCAUAAUGAGGUUUUAAAGGAAUAAAUGAUGAUUUUAUAAAAAUAGUGGCUCCAUUUGCAUAUCUCCAAUAGUCAGAAUUAUAAUGAGAAUAAUAUGUACUUGUUGUGACCACGUGUGUGCCAGGCCCCAUGCUGCGUGUUUUACUAUAAUCACAAAACUACUACUUUUAUAGGUGAGAAAACUAAGACUAAGAGAGGCGGGGAUAAAAAAUGUGCCCGAGGCCACAAAGCACAAGGAUAGAGUCAGAAUUUGAAGCCACGUUUUCCAAAGUCUAAGUCUUGCUCCUUCCCUGUACCUUGCAAGCUUUCAUCCCUCAGUGGAUACCAGGGCUGAGGAAACUGAUUUGUAACAUGUUCCUGUCACAGAGUUUUGGCUCUACAUUUAAGACAUAAAACUUGGCCUGGCGCAGUGGCUCACGCCUGUAAUCCCAGCACUUUGGGGGGCCAAGGCAGGUGGAUCACCUGAGGUCAGGAGUUUGAAACCAGCCUGACCAAUAUGGCAAAACCCCGUCUCUACUAAAAAUAAAAUUUAGCCGGGCGUGGUGGCGGGUGCCUGUAAUCCCAGCUACUCAGGAGGCUGAGGCAGGAGAACCGCUUGAAGACAGGAGGCGGAGGUAGCAGUGAACAAAGAUCGCACCACUGCACUCCAGCCUGGGUGACAGAGCAAGACUCCGUCUCAAAAAAAAAAAAAGACAUAAAAUUUCCUGUUUAAAACUACACUAGUUACGUGGUUGCUUUUGGCCCAUGUUUUUAAAACAUAUAGUUUCAGCUAAGAGAUUUUUCAGUUCAACUAACAACAUGCCCUUACCGUUUAAAUUGUGAAAAAUGUUGGAUAUUUAUGUGGUUUUCUACAAGGUUUCUUUUUUCCCGUGGAGCUAAUUAUUUUUAAAUGUGCACACAUCUCAAUGUACAUAUGUGUAUGUAUGUAUUUAUGCAUAUGUAUACCCAAUAAUAUUAACUUUGCAACAGGACCAAAGACCUCAUGGAAAACUGUCUUAUUUCCAACAGUCCUGAGGUAGCAGGUAAUCUUUUACUCCACAUAAUUAAAAUUUCUAGCUACCAAGGAAUUGAUAUUUUUCCAGUAGAAACAGUUAUCCUUGUAACUAGGACAGUUCCAUUACUUUACCAGAAUCCUGAAUUAGUCAAAACUAGUCAUCGAAGUUAUGACUAUCUGGGGUUUUGUUUCCUUUUAUUCCUUUAACUCUGUAUUUCUUUCUAUCAGUGAAGUUUGUUUUUAAAGGUACCUGGGGCGGGGAAGCAGGGUGGAGGUAGAGCCCCUCCUUGCCUGGAGCCUACAGUAAGGAGCCAGGUUCAGGAGGAGUGGAUUCCUUGGUUGACUUGGCCAUGCAGAAAUAGUCUUAGACUCCCCCAGGAUUUAAAAUAGGAUUGAAACAAGAAGUUUCAAAGAGCAGAUGAGGAAUAGAGAUACUUAGUGCCAAUAAAAGUGUCGUGGAGACUUCUUCGGCUUUUUAAAAAAAAUGCUUAAUCCAUUAUUAAAAUAAUGAUUGACUUUAUUUUAUAGUAAUAUAUGAUAAUAUGAAGUUAGGAUGACUUGCCAUUUCAGAUUUAAAAUACAUAUUAAUUAAGUGACUACUAUGUUGUGAUUUUGAAUAAUGUUUAAGUUUCUAUAUUGAUUGUAUGCCUGGUAUAAUAAAGGAAAAGACUGCCUUAUUGUCCCCUUUAAAAUUUGUCAUAAUUAUUGAAUGUUUCGAUAUAUGGUUAGGACUUCUGUUUAGAAUUCUAAGAAUCACAAACUAAUAGGUUUAUACAUCACGGCUUGAAUUCACAGACAAAUCUGUCUUCUAAAAAAAUUACAGGCCGGGCGCAGUGGCUCAUGCCUGUAAUCCCAGCAUUUUGGGAGGCCGAGGUGGGCAGAUCACGAGGUCAGGAGAUCAAGACCAUCCUGGCUAACAUGGUGAAACCCCGUCUCUACUAAAAAUACAAAAAAUUAGCCGGGUGUGGUGGCGGGGGCCUGUAGUCCCAGCUACUCAGGAGGGUGAGGCAGGAGAAUGGCGUGAACCUGGGAGGCGGAGCUUGCAGUGAGCCGAGAUUGUGCCACUGCACUCCAGCCUGGGGGACACAGCAAGACUCCAUCUCAAAAAAAAAAAAAAAAAUUACAGAAAAAAAUAUUGGUAAUUUUGGCUAGAGCUCCUCAAACUUUAACUAUUUGAAGAGUAUACAAAUCACCUGAGAAUCUUGUUAAAAUGCAAAUUCUGCUUCAGUCAGUCUGGGGCAUGGCUGAAUUUCCAACAAGCUCCCGUGAUGCUGAUGCUGACGGUCUACAGACAACACUGAUUCACAAUGAUACGUGUCACACUUUUAAUAUAACGUAUAAAUACAUAUAUAUAACAUAUAAAUAUAACAUAUAAAAAUAUAUAUUUGAAUAUAUAUAGCAUGUACCUAUAACGUAUAAAUAAUAUAUAUUUGAAGUGUUUACUUUUGUCAGAGGUUAAUAACUAGUCUGUAUUCAAUGGAGAUGAACUUUGAACUUUUCCUACAGCUUCUCAGGGUCUAAUAAAGACCCAUAAAUGUAUUUUUUCCAUGUUAAUGAACUAACUUUUUAAAAUCCUAAUGUUCAUUAUCUUAAUUUAGUUCUUUCAGAAGCUUUAUGUAGAUGCAAUGUGUUUCUCUAGGUGUGUGUAUGUAUACCUGACAACAAAGGUUUUCACCUCCACCUCAAGGACAGUUUUCUUUAGGACAUGAGUGGCUUAUGUCUGGGGGCUGCAUGUGUCUGCACGAAUUUAUCUUGAGAUGAUUGAGAUGAAAACCUUUGUUCUCUGAGUUCUAAAAUUCAACUGAACUUAUUCCAAAGCAACCUUUUCUAGACAGGUACAUCAGAGAAAUUUAAAAAUAGCUCACCUUCAUUUGACACUUAUCUGUAGCCUUUUAUUUUUCAGCAUCAAAAAUACUAUUAAUGUUAAUAGUUACCCUGGUCACAGGUACUCUGCUACCUUUCUGCCCAAGGAAGUGAGAACAUUUUUUAAUCCAAUAGAAGCAUGUUAAAGUACAUAGUUAAAGUAGAUUUUAAUAUAUAACUUAUAUAUGUCCACUGUGUAAGAUACUUACAGAAGACAUCUAGGAAUUUUUUAAUCAUAAAAAAUUCAAAUACUAACAUCAAGCAUAAGUGAACAAAUUUCAAUUGAAAAUAAGUUUGGGACAUAAAUAAAAACAUUUACUAGGGCACAGAUUCCCUUGGUAGUUGACUAUUUGAACAGACAGUUACCAACAGAAUAUUUUAAAAGGCAAAAGAGCAUCUUAUGGAAUUCUCUCUAUGGCUUGGAUUUGCAUUUCUCACCAAACAACAUAUUUUGAAUCUACGGGAUUCUUAUAUGGGUUGACGAAAAUACAAACCUUCCACAUAUGGAGAAAUGAAGGCCUGUCUUUUACAGAUAUAUGUGGUUACUGGGAUCAAACCUAAGGGAAAAUGUGUUCUGAUCCAACUAUAUCCUUACUCCUUCCUAGAUCCUUUUGAAGCAUGAACAAAUUUACUCUGGGAUUCUAUAGAGUCUAAUAAUUGGGAGAAAACAUAUGAAGUAGAAUUUUCUAUAUCAAAUCUAAAUCACCUAAGUCAAGAUCUCUUUGGAAACUGAAGUUGUAUACUUUUUUCUCAGUGCCUUGCAGUGUUUUGAUAUUGCAAAUCUUGAUCUUUCUUAUUAUAUUGUAAUUCUAUUUUUGUCUUGGCCAAGCCCCUGGAGGUACAGAGAACCCCUUAAUCCCAGCUCAACACUGAUAUAUUGAAAAUAUUCAUUAAACAAUAUUGUUCUCUUCUUCUUCAAAUAAAACUCUAAAUUAUUUAUGUCAUAUGUUUCUGAUUUUAUUUUAUAUCCUUUUGAUCAUUUUCCU